AAGAGAUAUGAAAAGAAUAGAUUAAUUCAUAUAAGUCGACUUUGCCUGCGGGAGCAGGAACCUAAGUUUCUCUUUGAUAUCUUCAUUUUUCAACGAGGAAUUUUAGAAUAGUUGUCCAUAAUGAAUCACUUAAUCACUUACUACUGGACUGAUGAUUAUCUCUUAGACUCACAGUCAAUUAGCAGCAGUAUUGACCCAUUGCUAGAAUAAGUAAAUAAAUAUAUAAAUUCAUAAAUUUCGUGCGCUCGAAACUCUUUUCUUUAUUUACUUUCAUCACGAACACCCAAACCAAAACUUUCGAAGGCCAGAGUUGUAUAAAAACCUAGGUAUAAAGAAGAUGAAUAGAAUAUCCCAUAUCAUCUAAGGUCAAAAAAAAAUAAAAUUAACGGUACCAAUUUUCGUGCACCAGAUGCGCAUUUCGACAGUACAUGUCUCUCUUCAGUGAUGCUCGUGGCCAAAAUAUUUGAAAUCCAAAGCUUAUAUGAAAGAUGAAGAGCUAUAAUCCAAAAGGUCCAAAAAGUAUAGCCAAAUCCGUGAAAGGAAUCAGAGCUUUGCAUUAGGGAGAUACAUUCCUUAAUUUAUAAUAAUUUCUAUCAUUUUGUCAACUUUGUCGGAGUUUCUAUCUUAUAUGACAAGCUUGAAAAAACCCUUUAUUUGAUUUUUUAACCCUCUAUGCUAACAUUGCCAAUGUAAAUUUUAAAAUUGUUUGUAUGCAUAUUGAACG
rnacentral:lncRNA from 1 species